rnacentral:ncRNA from 25 species
CGGACCCGUCGCGACUGGCGUUCGGAUGGGUCACCAUCGGGGAGCGACUCACACGGUUGGUGGCCGUACGCCUGGGCCACGACG